rnacentral:misc_RNA from 1 species
GAUGAAGAACGUAGCGAAAUGCGAUAAGUAAUGUGAAUUGCAGAAUUCAGUGAAUCAUCGAAUCUUUGAACGCACAUUGCGCCCGCCAGCACUCUGGCGGGCAUGCCUGUUCGAGCGUCAUUUCAACCAUCAAGCCCCCAGGGGCUUGUGCUGGGGCCCUGCGGCUGCCCGCAGGCCCUGAAAACCAGUGGCGGGCUCGCUAUCACACCGAGUGCAGUAGAUUACUCUUCGCUCAGGGCGUGCAGCGGGUUCCGGCCGUGAAACCCCCUACUUUUAAAGGUUGACCUCGGAUCAGGUAGGAAUACCCGCUGAACUUAAGCAUAUCAAUAAGCGGAGGA